GAACAGUAGAAUUUUACUUUUUUUUUUUUUCCAGCAUAGCACCCUGUUUUAUUUGAGUGCCAGUCACCAGAGUACUGCCCUGGGAAAGGGUUCAGCCUGAAGAAUUCAAAGCUAUUCUCACAAUCACAGCAUGGAUAGGGUUGGAAGUGACCUCUGAAGAUCUUCUAGUCCAACCCACCUGUUGGAGCAGGCACACCUAGAGCAGAUCACACAGGAGUGUGUCCAGGAAUGAUGAACUGCAAAACGUGGUAUUUGUGAAACAAAGUCAAAGAACAACUCUGAGAGAACUGUUGAAGUGGACAAACAAGAAAAAAAAAUCAAGUAUAGGAGUGUUAAUCAAUAGAAAAAUAUAAUCUGAA